CGGUACCUGCAGAAGAAGCCCCGGCUAACUACGUGCCAGCAGCCGCGGUAAUACGUAGGGGGCAAGCGUUAUCCGGAUUCAUUGGGCGUAAAGCGCGCGUAGGCGGUCUGUUAGGUCAGGAGUUAAAUCUGGGGGCUCAACCCCUAUCCGCUCCUGAUACCGGCAGGCUUGAGUCUGGUAGGGGAAGAUGGAAUUCCAAGUGUAGCGGUGAAAUGCGCAGAUAUUUGGAAGAACACCGGUGGCGAAGGCGGUCUUCUGGGCCAUGACUGACGCUGAGGCGCGAAAGCUAGGGGAGCGAACAGGAUUAGAUACCCUGGUAGUCCUAGCUGUAAACGAUGGACACUAGGUGUGGGGAGAUUAUACUUUCCGUGCCGCAGCUAACGCAUUAAGUGUCCCGCCUGGGGAGUACGGUCGCAAGACUAAAACUCAAAGGAAUUGACGGGGGCCCGCACAAGCAGCGGAGCAUGUGGC
rnacentral:rRNA from 2 species